rnacentral:lncRNA from 1 species
GGAAACAGCUUCAGACAAAUCCGAGCAAGUAUUUACUUGUGUGUUUUGGUGCAAGUGCUGCUGCUUCCACGCCAGAGGGAUGCACCAGUAGCAAGGGAGUGCUGUCUCCAAGUGGUCCUGUUGCUAGGUGUGGAGAGGGGAAAGAAAGAGAGAGGACCCGUCUCUGAAGACCUGAUAGGCCUGUUAGUAUUUUUUUCUCACCUAUCUCUGGCUGUCAAUUUCUUUUUACUUCUUUCUGUCUUUUUAUUUGAUGUCAGCUGUUGGCCCUUCUUUUUUUUUUUCUUUCUAUUUUUCUUUCUGUCUCAAUAUAUUUUUUUUCCAUUUGGAGGUUAUUAAAAUUUAUUAUUUUCUCUCAGAGUGUAGCCCUCCUUGCCCUGUCAUGAAAUGAAAUCAUAUUGAACAGAAAGGCUUUACUUGGAGCUCAGACAGGAAUUAAAGACAGCAGUUUUAACAAGAACAUACAUAAACAUCCCCAGACUUCUUGUACUGCCAACGUGAGCUUCCUUAUUCAUGUGAAGAUACCGACAAUUUUCAAGGUAGGAUACAUAUUGCUUUGCAACUUCUAUGUAUGAAAUAUUUUUCAGCACUGUGAAUGACUCUCAAAGAGAGAAUCACAUUUAGUCCUCUCACAGCCCUUGCUAUCUAGCCACCUACUUCUUGCAGUGAAUGUUUCUCUAUAAAUUCCUUAAAUUGUAUUAAACAUGUAUUAUUUAUGUACAGGUACAUAAAGAAAAGAAGUCCUAAUUUUGCAGUGCUUUGCUGCUGAUUUAACCAGUGUACAUUUGCAAACCAGUAAAGCAUACACAAUAUUUCCCUUCUGCCUCCUGCUUCUUCUUCAUGUCUGUUGACCACAUGGAUAAUGCUGGAGCUGCUAAUUCUCUCCUCACAGUGCUUAAUGCUCUUGCCAGAGCACUCAUUACUAGAAAGACACUGAGAAUCAAACCCAUACCGAGAGUAAUCCAGCGUAGCACCAGCUGAAGUCAACAAGAGUUGUGUCUCUCUAUGCCAGGGCUGUAUUUAUUGCUAAAACCAUCUCCAGCACAAAGAUGACUUGCCAUGUUUAUUCUGUGCCACCACGUCUGGUAUAAUCAGGAGAGAAUAAGAGACAAAAGGUUUACAGUGUUGUUUUAAUGUCUGCCAAUAACAAGAUUGGAGAUUCACAGCAUCUGAAGCCAGUCAGUUCAUCAAAGUGCUUUUCAGCAGCACAAAGCACUCCAUCUUAACAUUGCAUCCAAUUGUGCAUUUCAGGGAAUCUUUCAAUAUGCUUUUCUAGGCAGUGCUAGCAAACUUAGCAAUAUGCACUCUUGCCUUACUUGCUGACUGGCUUAAAAAAAGAAAAUUAAAUACAUUUCUCAUAUGGCUAUAAUGUGGAAUUUUUCCACACCAUUAAAUAAAAUGUUACUGUAGUUUAUUGGCA